rnacentral:rRNA from 1 species
UACGUAGGUGACAAGCGUUGUCCGGAAUCAUUGGGCGCAAAGCGCGUGUAGGCGGCCACGUUAGUCCGUUCUGAAAGCCCGGGGCUCAACCCCGGGAGGCGGAUGGAUACUGCGUGGCUCGAGUCCGGAAGAGGCGAGUGGAAUUCCUGGUGUAGCGGUGAAAUGCGCAGAUAUCAGGAGGAACACCAAUGGCGAAGGCAGCUCGCUGGGACGUGACUGACGCUGAGACGCGAAAGCGUGGGGAGCAAACAGG